CGCCUUCUUCAUAAGGAUCACAUUUGUGAGCCAAUCUGGAUAUAGUUUACCUCUCUUAUAAAUCCAGCAUGAAUUAGUUUGUCCACUUCUUUGACAAUUGCUUUUCACCAUUUCGAGACAAAACUUUGCUUCUUCUGCUUGAUAGAUCAUACGCAGGGUUCACUUUAGUCGAUGCAUCAUGACUCCAGGUUUAAUGCCCGGCAUAUCAGCCAGUGACUAU
rnacentral:lncRNA from 1 species